GUAAGUAGAGGUGGCUUAGACUUGA
rnacentral:piRNA from 1 species